UACGUAGGUGUCGAGCGUUGUCCGGAUUUAUUGGGCGUAAAGAGCCCGCAGGCGGCUUGGCAAGUUUGAGGUGAAAUCUCCCGGCUUAACUGGGAGGGGGCCUCGAAAACUGCCAGGCUUGAGGCAUGGAGAGGGAUGCGGAAUUCCCGGUGUAGCGGUGAAAUGCGUAGAUAUCUGGAGGAACACCGGUGGCGAAGGCGGCAUCCUGGACCAACACUGACACUGAAAAGCGAAAGCCAGGGGAGCAAACGGG
rnacentral:rRNA from 1 species